UACGGGGGGGGCAAGCGUUGUUCGGAAUUACUGGGCGUAAAGGGUUCGUAGGUGGCCAACUCAGUCAGACGUGAAAUCCCUCAGCUUAACUGGGGAACUGCGUCUGAUACUAGAUGGCUCGAGUGCAGGAGAGGAACGCGGAAUUCCAGGUGUAGCGGUGAAAUGCGUAGAUAUCUGGAGGAACACCGGUGGCGAAGGCGGCGUUCUGGACUGCAACUGACACUGAGGAGCGAAAGCCAGGGGAGCAAACGGG
rnacentral:rRNA from 1 species